UUGCUUUUAACACUUAGUGGCGGACGGGUGAGUAAUGUAUGAGCAACCUGCCUUUCAGAGGGGGACAACAGUUGGAAACGACUGCUAAUACCGCAUAAUGUAUUUCGGAGGCAUCUCUGGGAUACCAAAGGAGCAAUCCGCUGAAAGAUGGGCUCAUAUCUGAUUAGCUAGUUGGUGAGGUAACGGCUCACCAAGGCUGCGAUCAGUAGCCGGACUGAGAGGUUGAACGGCCACAUUGGGACUGAGAUACGGCCCAGACUCC
rnacentral:rRNA from 1 species